UACGAAGGGGGCUAGCGUUGCUCGGAAUCACUGGGCGUAAAGCGCACGUAGGCGGCUUUCUAAGUCAGGGGUGAAAUCCUGGAGCUCAACUCCAGAACUGCCUUUGAUACUGGAGAGCUUGAGUCCGGAAGAGGUGAGUGGAACUCCGAGUGUAGAGGUGAAAUUCGUAGAUAUUCGGAAGAACACCAGUGGCGAAGGCGGCUCACUGGUCCGGUACUGACGCUGAUGCGCGAAAGCUAGGGGAGCAAACAGG
rnacentral:rRNA from 1 species